UACAGAGGUCCCAAGCGUUGUUCGGAUUCACUGGGCGUAAAGGGUGCGUAGGUGGUGAGGAAAGUCGGAUGUGAAAGCUCGGGGCUUAACCCCGAAAUGGCAUUGGAAACUACCUUGCUCGAGGGAUGGAGGGGGGACUGGAAUUCUUGGUGUAGCAGUGAAAUGCGUAGAUAUCAAGAGGAACACCAGUGGCGAAGGCGAGUCCCUGGACAUCUCCUGACACUGAGGCACGAAAGCUAGGGGAGCAAACAGG
rnacentral:rRNA from 1 species